GACGAACGCUGGCGGCGUGCCUAAUACAUGCAAGUAGAACGCUGAAGGAGGAGCUUGCUUCUCUGGAUGAGUUGCGAACGGGUGAGUAACGCGUAGGUAACCUGCCUGGUAGCGGGGGAUAACUAUUGGAAACGACAGCUAAUACCGCAUAAGAGUAGAUGUUGCAUGACAUUUGCUUAAAAGGUGCAAUUGCAUCACUACCAGAUGGACCUGCGUUGUAUUAGCUAGUUGGUGGGGUAACGGCUCACCAAGGCGACGAUACAUAGCCGACCUGAGAGGGUGAUCGGCCACACUGGGACUGAGACACGGCCCAGACUCCUACGGGAGGCAGCAGUAGGGAAUCUUCGGCAAUGGACGGAAGUCUGACCGAGCAACGCCGCGUGAGUGAAGAAGGUUUUCGGAUCGUAAAGCUCUGUUGUAAGAGAAGAACGAGUGUGAGAGUGGAAAGUUCACACUGUGACGGUAUCUUACCAGAAAGGGACGGCUAACUACGUGCCAGCAGCCGCGGUAAUACGUAGGUCCCGAGCGUUGUCCGGAUUUAUUGGGCGUAAAGCGAGCGCAGGCGGUUAGAUAAGUCUGAAGUUAAAGGCUGUGGCUUAACCAUAGUACGCUUUGGAAACUGUUUAACUUGAGUGCAAGAGGGGAGAGUGGAAUUCCAUGUGUAGCGGUGAAAUGCGUAGAUAUAUGGAGGAACACCGGUGGCGAAAGCGGCUCUCUGGCUUGUAACUGACGCUGAGGCUCGAAAGCGUGGGGAGCAAACAGG
rnacentral:rRNA from 1 species